rnacentral:rRNA from 1 species
CCUACGGGAGGCAGCAGUGAGGAAUAUUGGUCAAUGGGCGCGAGCCUGAACCAGCCAAGUAGCGUGAAGGAUGACUGCCCUACGGGUUGUAAACUUCUUUUAUAAAGGAAUAAAGUGAGGCACGUGUGCCUUUUUGUAUGUACUUUAUGAAUAAGGAUCGGCUAACUCCGUGCCAUCAGCCGCGGUAAUACGGAGGAUCCGAGCGUUAUCCGGAUUUAUUGGGUUUAAAGGGAGCGUAGAUGGGUUGUUAAGUCAGUUGUGAAAGUUUGCGGCUCAACCGUAAAAUUGCAAUUGAUACUGGCAGUCUUGAGUACAGUUGAGGUAGGCGGAAUUCGUGGUGUAGCGGUGAAAUGCUUAGAUAUAACGAAGAACUCCGAUUGCGAAGGCAGCUUACUAAACUGCCACUGACAUUGAUGCUCGAAAGUGUGGGUAUCAAACAGGAUUAGAUACCCUUGUAGUC